AUGGCAAUAACGAAUACGAGGUAUACGGGUAUGAUAUCGAAAAUCGAGCUUGAAAAUUGGCUAGAAGAUCUAUGGAUUGCAGCAGGCGCGUAACUUAUCCAAUUCUGAUUCAGGGAGAUAGUGAAAAAACAUACCGAUCUGAAAGGUGUAAACUUUUCCAUUGGAGCGGGCAAAUGUCAAACCAAUUUGCGAGACCAUUAUAGGGCAAGUCUGGUGCCAGCAGCCGCGGUAAUUCCAGCUAUAAUAAGGAAUAUUAAAGUUGUUGCUGUUAAAAAGCUCGUAGUUGAAUUUCUGGGUGUUUUAUUUGGUAGAGAUAACCUCUCUGCUGAUAGAAUAUCCAUCCGUCUGUUAAUAUAUGGGUAAUGAAAGUUGCUCUUAUAAGCUCAGACAUUUUACCGUGAGAAAAUUAGAGUGUUUCAGGCAAGCUUGGCUGGAAUAGAUUAGCAUGGAAUAAUGGAAUCAAAUGGAAAUCCAUGGUUUUGGAGGUUCAUUUAGGAUUAAUAGGAACAAUUGGAGAUGAUAGUAUUUAAUUAUCAGAGGUGAAAUUCUUAGAUUUGUUAAAGACUAACUUAUGCGAAAGCAUUCACCUAGGAUGUUUUCAUUAAUCAAGAACGAA
rnacentral:rRNA from 1 species